rfam:Bacteroides nordii CL02T12C05 genomic scaffold supercont1.1, whole genome shotgun sequence.
CGUCAGUCAGUAAUGAUAGUAACAACGAAUGUCGAGAAGUCAGCAGAGGUCGUAGUAGCCGACAUCGAGUAAGUCAAGGCGAAGGAC